GUCUGGGCCGGCGCUAGCUUCUUAGCGAUCCUAGCGCGUUGUCCAGCCAGUCUUGCUAUUGCCAAGAAGAGAUAACAAGACGCCCAAAGGCUGCAGUUCCCAUCGUACUGUUAUCAACCCUUCGUUAUGGGAAAUCCCAGACAGGACUGACUGCAAGGCUCGGCUCUUAGUGGAAUCGAGGGUCAGAGUUCAAAGCCCACUAAUGUUUAAGGUCGAGGCUGUGGAUAAAAUUUCCUGUAUUAGAUCACGUGGUCAGAAAAGGUCCUGGAGGAGAUGACAUUUGAACUACCAUCUGAACACAAGAGCUAGGGAUUGGUGGAUCGGGUAAAGAAUGUUGAAAGUAGAUGCUACAGCUUGUGAAGAGGCCUUUGGCGAUCCGAGAGGGGAGGUGCAGCCUGGGAAACUAUCACUAGACUACAGAGAUGGAAGCUCCAGAAGACAGCUAGAGGUGUAAGACUCUGCCUACGCUGUGUCCACGGUGAAGAACUGGAAAGAUAAAAGGCUCAAUCGUGGAGGAUGCUAGAGAGAUGCCCUCAUUGCUUGUGCCGUGUUAUCCCAGUGUCACGAAGUCCAAGUCUGUGGACAUUUUCUUGACAGGAAGAGACUGCUCCUUCUGUGGGGACACAGCCAUAUCUGACUGACCUGCUGCUGACAAUAUCCUACAUGGACCCCAGCAAUUAUCCAGUAAAGACCCCUGGGCAGCUGUUCUGUCCUGAUCUAGAGAGACUCCUGUACUUUUGUCUGCAGGAGUCUAUAUCGUUCUCCUGCCUUUGGAUCAUGGUUUCUUUUAGCCUUUCUUUCUAGACUGACACAGUAGUCUUAAAAGAAACAUCCUUCUGGCUAGAGUCAUUGUGUGAAUUCCUGAUGCACAACACACUCUGUAAAAAGUCACCUUUUCUCGUGAUGGUUUUAGCCUUCUUUAUCUCUGUUGUUUCCCCUUCAGUUCUGGCCAAGACAACAGGAGAGUCUAGGUGGUCUUUUGUAUGGAAAAGGAAAAGGGUCUCUUCAGAACACAACCAGUCCUUUCAGGGCAACAAAAUGAUGAUUAUGUAAGAGGUUUUUUGUUUGUUUUGUUUUUACCUUUGUUUUUUUGUUUUGUCUUUUUUAACUCGACUCUAAAAUGCAUAAAGGAGUCCUUUUUGGAUCCAGAGACGAAAUGUAAUGAGAGACCAGGAUAAAGCCUUAGGAUUCUUUUUAGCCUUUAUUAUCAAACUCUCCUGCAAUCUGUUUCCUGUAAAGAAAAAAAAGCUGCUGUGCUUCCUCCUUGCUCAUCACUGGCUGUGAGUUUGCUGAUCUAUGGUCUAUGCAUAUGUGCACAACUUUAAAUAAGCUAAGGAUGUCAGUUAAGGUACUAAGAGGAAAGAGAAGAGGCACUCACAAGAAUGUAAGGACGAAGCCACUUGAAAGGAUAUAGGUUAAAUUUAAGGGACUCAAGGAAGAAGAGUAAAGGACCUCAGGACUGGCAAUGGUUGGGGAUGGGCUUCAUCAUCCCUAAGUUUGAAGAGGUUGGAAAAGAGAAGUUACCAGAACCCUAAAAUAGAGCUGUUGAAGAACUGCACAUAGUAGAGGCUUCCCCUGUCCUAGAGGGAAGUUACCACUGGCAAUCCUUCCUGAUGUUGAGAGCAGUCUCUGACAUCACUAUGACUCUUCUAUCUUCAUCUCUCUUGCCCGUCUCGUCCAAGAUUCUCCUGCUACUUGAAUGAAGCCCAAAUUUGGAGGGGAAGGAAGCUGAGAUGAUGCAGUGAGCAAAGGUUGGCAUUCCACAGCUUAGAGCAAGGUGACAAGGUCAAGGAGUGCACCUGGAGGGGUGAUGCCAAAGAUAUUUGUCUCACUGGCCAGAAGUGGACAGUAUGCUAGUGAGCUGGCUGACUGCAAAGGAGGGGGACCACCUGAACCCUACGCUUCUCUCUGCAAUCUACAGCAGUCAAAGGGUGCCACUCUGGACAGAAAAUGGAGUGUCUCUCUGCUGUUUAUUAUUAUUUCUUGAAAGUUUUGAACAACAUGGCAAAAGAUCUGACAAGAAGGUUUUGCUCCAGAUGCACAGAAUUUCCUAGAAGAAAUAAGAGUGAAAACGCUUCCCGGCCAUCUGUCCUGAUCUCACACUGCACUUUCAGAAUUUCUCUCUGGUUCUCAUCCUGCAGAGGCACAUCCUGACAGACUGCAGACAAGUCUCUCUGCAACUAAAUCAAAAGGCAACAAGAGAAUCACUCAAAAUAGGGCUGGGCAGGACCGAGGACUGAAGGAGCAAGAACGAGAUGCUAAUUCUACCCAACCAACAGCUCAGGAGGUACAGAGAGAAAAAAAGAGGAAAAGUAAAUGACCUACUAACAGUGUUUCAUCUUGGUCUAUUUUCAGAAGCUUGUAGAAUUUAAAACAAGAUGCUUUGAAAAUACAGAAUGUACUUUAAUAAAAAAUAGACUACUGGCUGGUUAUCGUGUACCCAUCUAGCACAAUCCCUAUUUUUCAGAGGCAAAAGGUUAACAGCACAGAUGAACUAAACCCUCACAUACCCAAAACAAAGAUUUCAUUUGCUCUUUAGCCUUAUUUUCCCCCAACCCCUCCAACCACACUGUAAGGAAGGAAACCACGUCAAUUUAAAUUUUAGCACCUCUUCUUUCUGUAUGUUUGAAUUUCAGCAUGUCUUCUUCCUGUAUGUUUAAUGAGUUCAUGAAUAACUAUUAGCAACAAGGAAAGGGAGGAUCACAGAGGUCUGGCAAAUAGUGUCCAUUGGUGGAGUAAAACAUUCCAGAGAGAGAGAGGCAGAGAGACAGAGAGACAGAGAGACAGAGACAGAGACACAGAGAGACAGAGAGACAGACAGAGAGUUCUGAAAGGAUCUACUAAGUGAUUCAGAAUUGACUAGUACCUUAUCAAAUGCACCACAAACCCUUUAGUGUGAUAGUGGGGAAUUCAGGGAAUUCAUGGAACAUGCACAGAGACAGAAGCCACCAAGGGACAACUGCAUUGAUUCCUCAUAGAAGACAAUGAAAAUCACCAGGAAGUGUUAUUUCUUCCCAGAUGAUUUUCCUGUGCUGUCAGUGAGAGCCUGAGACACUUUGGGUUGAUUUUUUCCCUUAAAAUCUUACAGUAAAUGACUCUGACCCUAACUCCCUUUGUUUUUUUCUACUGCUGUUCACUCUUUUCUAGGAUAGAAAAACAGCAACCAAUUCAGGAAAAGGUAACAAGGAGGAGAACGUGGUUAAGGAAGCUGGAUGGCUUCUCCUCUCACACCUUCUUGCAGUUAUUUUUAUUUCACAUCAUCAGAGUUUGCAGAAUGAAUGUAGACUCUUCAGGAUAUUUUCAAAAUAGACACUUUUUUUCUACCAACCAUUACAAUUCAACUAUGAACCAUUUCCCCCCUGGAAAUCAAUACACGUGUAUUUCAGGUCCUUGUCCAAGGAUGAUGUUUGUUAAAUAAUCAUACCAAGUUCCUUGCUGUAUAGGCAGGUUCUGUCUCCUGAUUUCAAUAAAAAGGGUGCAUGCUUUUCUUAUUCCAAAAGAUAGUUAUUCUGCAAUAGACAAAAGAAAAUGAUUUGUAAUAGGGAAACAGAAAAUCAUUGUUUCUUCUGGGCUGGCACUUUGUCUAGAGUUUAUCUUUAAAGGGUGAAUUGGUGGUUUGUACCUUCCUGACUUUUUCCUUUGGCCUCACACAUGUCAUUCCUUUUCUGUAAAAAAAAAAAAAAGAAUAUGUUGUGACAAGCCACAAAAAGAAUAUAACUGAUCCAUGGCAAGAGUAUUUUAGAACACCUCCCCUUGCCUCAUUAGUUGUAAAGGCAAAGAUAACUUCUGCUUUUAAAGAUGAGAGUGAGGUCAAAGCAUAGAGAAGUCUUUUUUACCCAUUUGGAAUAAAGGUAAGAUAUUCAUUAGUAAGGGAACUUGAAAACAUUCAAUAAAGCAUUGAUUUCAA